rnacentral:rRNA from 1 species
UGAGGGAUAUUGCGCAAUGGGGGAAACCCUGACGCAGCGACGCCGCGUGGGUGAUGAAGGCCUUCGGGUCGUAAAACCCUUUUGCCACUGACGAGGAAGGACGGUAGGUGGCGAAUAAGCCUCGGCUAACUACGUGCCAGCAGCCGCGGUAAAACGUGGGUGGCAAGCGUUGUCCGGAAUCACUGGGCGUAAAGGGCGCGUAGGCGGGCUAUUAAGUCAGAUGUGUAAACCCCAGGCUCAACCUGGAGAUUGCAUCUGAUACUGGUAGUCUUGAGUGCAGGAGAGGACAGUGGAAUUCCUAGUGUAGCGGUGAGAUGCGUAGAUAUUAGGAGGAACACCAGUGGCGAAGGCGGCUGUCUGGACUGUAACUGACGCUGAGGCGCGAAAGCGUGGGGAGCAAACA